UCUGUCCAUAUUUUCCCUCUAAAUCCGUAUAUUUCAAAACCCCAUUCAAUCCGGGCAUGGAGGACCUAGUAUGGGAAGACUGAUAGCUGGGGGUGCGGCUGCUGCUUAUGGAGCUCAUCAUCUAUCGCAUGGCGGUCAUCAUUCGUCACAUGGCAGUCACCAGCUGUCACAUGGCCAUCACCAUGGGAAGUUUAAGCACGGGAAGUUCAGUAAACACACGAAGCAUGAAAAGCACCACGGGGGGAAGGUUCCUGAAGUUCAAGAAAUGGAAGUAAUUCUGGUGUGCUGCUUUAUUGUUGUACUGAUUCUGGUGUGUCAUACCUUACUGCUAGCAUUGUUUGCUGCUGUUAUUGCUUAGGCUUGCUGUGACUUUUGUCCCCCUUUUUUUAACCUCAUGAAUUGUGGAUGCAAUUUGAAAGUUACAGCAUUGAGCUACUGGCGUGCAUAUAUAAUUACAAAUUUUUUAUGUGGUAUUUUUCCACAUGUGAAUGAAUUAUGUAGUGUUUGGUUCACUAGAAUGAAUGUAGAUUUGAAUGGAAUCUUAAUUCCUUA